AGAGAAGAAAGUGUGUGGAGACCCAGAGAUCAGUGUGGAGGCCCUGAAACGACUCACACGCUAUGAGGACCUGGAACAAAGUGACGUUAGAGUGCACUACUUAUGGAAAGCACUGACGAACUUCACCAAUGAGGAUCGCAGCAGGUUUCUGAGGUUUGUGACUGGUAGAAGUCGUCUACCUGCGCCUAUCUACGUCUUUCCU